rnacentral:rRNA from 4 species
GAAGUUUUCAGAGAUGAGAAUGUGCCUUCGGGAACCGUGAGACAGGUGCUGCAUGGCUGUCGUCAGCUCGUGUUGUGAAAUGUUGGGUUAAGUCCCGCAACGAGCGCAACCCUUAUCCUUUGUUGCCAGCGAUUAGGUCGGGAACUCAAAGGAGACUGCCAGUGAUAAACUGGAGGAAGGUGGGGAUGACGUCAAGUCAUCAUGGCCCUUACGACCAGGGCUACACACGUGCUACAAUGGCGCAUACAAAGAGAAGCGACCUCGCGAGAGCAAGCGGACCUCAUAAAGUGCGUCGUAGUCCGGAUUGGAGUCUGCAACUCGACUCCAUGAAGUCGGAAUCGCUAGUAAUCGUGGAUCAGAAUGCCACGGUGAAUACGUUCCCGGGCCUUGUACACACCGCCCGUCACACCAUGGGAGUGGGUUGCAAAAGAAGUAGGUAGCUUAACCUUCGGGAGGGCGCUUACCACUUUGUGAUUCAUGACUGGGGUGAAGUCGUAACAAGGUAACCGUAGGGGAACCUGCGGUUGGAUCACCUCCUUACCUUAAAGAA